rnacentral:rRNA from 1 species
AGAGUUUGAUCAUGGCUCAGGACGAACGCUGGCGGCGUGCCUAAUACAUGCAAGUAGAACGCUGAAGAGAGGAGCUUGCUCUUCUUGGAUGAGUUGCGAACGGGUGAGUAACGCGUAGGUAACCUGCCUUGUAGCGGGGGAUAACUAUUGGAAACGAUAGCUAAUACCGCAUAACAAUGGAUGACACAUGUCAUUUAUUUGAAAGGGGCAAUUGUUCCACUACAAGAUGGACCUGCGUUGUAUUAGCUAGUAGGUGAGGUAAUGGCUCACCUAGGCGACGAUACAUAGCCGACCUGAGAGGGUGAUCAGCCACACUGGGACUGAGACACGGCCCAGACUCCUACGGGAGGCAGCAGUAGGGAAUCUUCGGCAAUGGGGGCAACCCUGACCGAGCAACGCCGCGUGAGUGAAGAAGGUUUUCGGAUCGUAAAGCUCUGUUGUAAGUCAAGAACGGGUGUGAGAGUGGAAAGUUCACACUGUGACGGUAGCUUACCAGAAAGGGACGGCUAACUACGUGCCAGCAGCCGCGGUAAUACGUAGGUCCCGAGCGUUGUCCGGAUUUAUUGGGCGUAAAGCGAGCGCAGGCGGUUUGAUAAGUCUGAAGUUAAAGGCUGUGGCUCAACCAUAGUUCGCUUUGGAAACUGUCAAACUUGAGUGCAGAAGGGGAGAGUGGAAUUCCAUGUGUAGCGGUGAAAUGCGUAGAUAUAUGGAGGAACACCGGUGGCGAAAGCGGCUCUCUGGUCUGUAACUGACGCUGAGGCUCGAAAGCGUGGGGAGCGAACAGGAUUAGAUACCCUGGUAGUCCACGCCGUAAACGAUGAGUGCUAGGUGUUGGAUCCUUUCCGGGAUUCAGUGCCGCAGCUAACGCAUUAAGCACUCCGCCUGGGGAGUACGACCGCAAGGUUGAAACUCAAAGGAAUUGACGGGGGCCCGCACAAGCGGUGGAGCAUGUGGUUUAAUUCGAAGCAACGCGAAGAACCUUACCAGGUCUUGACAUCCCGAUGCUAUUUCUAGAGAUAGAAAGUUACUUCGGUACAUCGGUGACAGGUGGUGCAUGGUUGUCGUCAGCUCGUGUCGUGAGAUGUUGGGUUAAGUCCCGCAACGAGCGCAACCCCUAUUGUUAGUUGCCAUCAUUCAGUUGGGCACUCUAGCGAGACUGCCGGUAAUAAACCGGAGGAAGGUGGGGAUGACGUCAAAUCAUCAUGCCCCUUAUGACCUGGGCUACACACGUGCUACAAUGGUUGGUACAACGAGUUGCGAGUCGGUGACGGCGAGCUAAUCUCUUAAAGCCAAUCUCAGUUCGGAUUGUAGGCUGCAACUCGCCUACAUGAAGUCGGAAUCGCUAGUAAUCGCGGAUCAGCACGCCGCGGUGAAUACGUUCCCGGGCCUUGUACACACCGCCCGUCACACCACGAGAGUUUGUAACACCCGAAGUCGGUGAGGUAACCUUUUGGAGCCAGCCGCCUAAGGUGGGACAGAUGAUUGGGGUGAAGUCGUAACAAGGUA